UACGUAGGGUGCGAGCGUUGUCCGGAAUUAUUGGGCGUAAAGAGCUUGUAGGCGGUUUGUCGCGUCUGUCGUGAAAAUCCGGGGCUCAACCCCGGACUUGCGGUGGGUACGGGCAGACUAGAGUGUGGUAGGGGAGACUGGAAUUCCUGGUGUAGCGGUGAAAUGCGCAGAUAUCAGGAGGAACACCGAUGGCGAAGGCAGGUCUCUGGGCCACUACUGACGCUGAGAAGCGAAAGCGUGGGGAGCGAACAGG
rnacentral:rRNA from 1 species